UGGGGAAUAUUGGACAAUGGGCGCAAGCCUGAUCCAGCAAUGCCGCGUGUGUGAAGAAGGCCUGCGGGUUGUAAAGCACUUUCAGUGGGGAGGAAGGCCUUCGUGCUAAUAGUACGGAGGAUUGACGUUACCCACAGAAGAAGCACCGGCUAACUCUGUGCCAGCAGCCGCGGUAAUACAGAGGGUGCAAGCGUUAAUCGGAAUUACUGGGCGUAAAGGGUGCGUAGGUGGUCACUUAAGUCAGAUGUGAAAUCCCAAGGCUUAACCUUGGAAUUGCGUUUGAUACUGAAUGACUAGAGUACAGAAGAGGGAAGUGGAAUUUCCGGUGUAGCGGUGAAAUGCGUAGAUAUCGGAAGGAACAUCAGUGGCGAAGGCGACUUCCUGGUCUGUUACUGACACU
rnacentral:rRNA from 1 species